rnacentral:rRNA from 1 species
GAUGAACGCUAGCUACAGGCUUAACACAUGCAAGUCGCGGGGCAGCAUGGGGUUGCUUGCACUCCCCGAUGGCGACCGGCGCACGGGUGAGUAACGCGUAUCCAACCUGCCCUUCACCACGGGAUAACCCGGCGAAAGUCGGACUAAUACCGUAUGUUGUCCAUUGCCGGCAUCCGAUUUGGACGAAAGGCUUGGCGGUGAGGGAUGGGGAUGCGUCCGAUUAGCCAGACGGCGGGGUAACGGCCCACCGUGGCUACGAUCGGUAGGGGUUCUGAGAGGAAGGUCCCCCACACUGGAACUGAGACACGGUCCAGACUCCUACGGGAGGCAGCAGUGAGGAAUAUUGGUCAAUGGGCGUAAGCCUGAACCAGCCAAGUAGCGUGCAGGAUGACGGCCCUAUGGGUUGUAAACUGCUUUUAUGCGGGGAUAAAGUGGCCCACGUGUGGGCUUUUGCAGGUACCGCAUGAAUAAGGACCGGCUAAUUCCGUG